rnacentral:lncRNA from 12 species
AUGCAGGCAGAUACCACAGGCUUCCAAGCUAAGUGCCUUAGCAGGGAGAGCUCCUGGCUGCUGCUGACAUUUCUCAGACAGGAGAUCAAUAAGUGGGUAGAGCUUGAAAAGCAAAUCAUGCUUCUACCUGCCCUGGGGAACCCUCAGCAACUGUCAUGGCAGAGGAGGCAUCCCAGAGGAGGCCAGGAAAGACAGGGGGACGCACAUAGCCUUGAUACAGCCGAGAUGGGGGGCAGGGACAUUGGGACUGCCCAAGGAGAUGAAAGGGGCAAAUGCUACGACCACCCCCCCACCUUCCCACGCACCCCCUCUUGCUUCACAGAUCUUGCUGAGUGUGUGAAGAUUCCUGACUUCUGCCUCCCAGGGCCAACCAGACCCUCGGAGGUGGGUUGUGCAGCUGAUGUGGCUUUUCCAGGCCCAAUGAGCCUGGCCCGAGCACGGAAGGCUGUACCGGGCGGGAGACCCCGUAUGCGCAGUUGGGUCCCUCGGAGAGACCGAAGCCUAAUUCCCUGCCCCGCCGGCACCCGCGAGGACUUUAAAGAUUGCUCCACGCGACGUGCAAAGAAACUUUCUAUAGCACAUUUGAGCUUUCUCAAGAGCCCGGCGUGCCUUUGUAGGUGUGUACGUGUCCGCGGGAGCACGCGUGCACACGGGAAGCCCUGGGAGACCCAAGACGGCCAGCCCCGUCUCAUUUGUCGUUUGUGUCUCCCAGCACCCGUCUCCAGCACCCGAACCCCUGCUCACCAGCAGAAGUCCCAGGAAUGGAGAAGUCCAGCUCCAUGCUCCAGGGGAGGAAUCCCCCUGGGGCCUUGCUAGGCUUUCACCACCUGCUGGUCAUCCCUUCGGCCAGACGCUCCAGCAUCUGCUGUCAGCACCAGAACACCCCAACCAGAUGUAGCAAACGUCAUGGAUGGGAAUACAGUGGCAGAAAGAAUAUAAGGAAGGGCAGAUUCCAUUUUUUUAAAAAAAGUAUUUAUUCAUGACAGACAGACAGAGAGAGAGAGAGAGAGAGAGAGAGAGGCAGAGACACAGGCAGAGGGAGAAGCAGGCUCCAUGCGGGGAGCCUGAUGUGGGACUCGAUCCCGAAUCUCCAGGAUCAGGUCCUGGGCUGAAGGCAGUCGCUCAAUGGCUGAGCCACCGGGGCUGCCCAGGUUCCAUUUUUUAAUCUGCCUGGGUGGAGGGGGAGUGCGGCCAGGAUUGCCACUGUAUCAGUUACCUAUUCCUACAUAACAAAUUCCCCUUAACCUGGAUGCUUGAAGUAAUAGCCAUUUAUUAUUAUCUGAUGGUUUCCUUGGGUUAAGAGUCCACCAUGACAUGACUGAGUCUUCUGCUCAGGAUCUCACAAGACUGUAAUCCAAGUGUUGACCAAGGCCAAGGUCAGCACCUGAAGCUCACAGUCUUCUUCCAGGCUCCUGUGGCCGUGGGACACACCUAGUUCCUUGCACCUAUAGAACUUGGCUCCUACUCCCAGCUCUGGGAAACGAACUAGGGGUGGUGGAAGGGGAGGUGGGCGGGGAGUGGGGGUGCCUGGGUGAUGGGCACUGAGGAGGGCACUUGAUAGGAUGAGCACUGGGUGUUAUUCUAUAUGUUGGCAAAUUGAACACCAAUAAAAAAUAAUUUUAUAAAAAAAGAAAAAAGAAC